GACGAACCGUGCGAACGUUGUUCGGAAUCACUGGGCUUAAAGGGCGCGUAGGCGGGCUAUCAAGUCCGGGGUGAAAUCCUCCCGCUCAACGGGAGAACUGCCUCGGAUACUGAUGGUCUCGAGGGGGAUAGGGGCACACGGAACUGUGGGUGGAGCGGUGAAAUGCGUUGAUAUCCAUAGGAACUCCGGUGGCGAAAGCGGUGUGCUGGAUCCCUUCUGACGCUGAGGCGCGAAAGCCAGGGGAGCGAACAGG
rnacentral:rRNA from 1 species